rnacentral:rRNA from 1 species
ACGGUGAACACUAGGUGUAGCGGGUAUUGACCCCUGCUGUGCCGCAGCUAACGCAUUAAGUGUUCCGCCUGGGGAGUACGGCCGCAAGGUUAAAACUCAAAGGAAUUGACUGGGGCCCGCACAAGCGGUGGAGCAUGUGGUUUAAUUCGACGCAACGCGAAGAACCUUACCUGGAUUUGACAUCCCGGGAAUCUUUUUGAAAAAUCAGAGUGCCCUUCGGGGAGCCCGGUGACAGGUGCUGCAUGGCUGUCGUCAGCACGUGUCGUGAGAUGUUGGGUUAAGUCCCGCAACGAGCGCAACCCCUUUCUUUAGUUACCAUCAUUUAGUUGGGGACUCUAAAGAUACUGCCCCGGUUAACGGGGAGGAAGGUGGGGAUGACGUCAAGUCCUCAUGGCCUUUAUAUCCAGGGCUACACACGUGCUACAAUGGGCUGUACAAAGGGUUGCCAACCCGCGAGGGUGAGCUAAUCCCAUAAAGCUGUUCGUAGUUCGGAUUGGGGUCUGCAACUCGACUCCAUGAAGCUGGAAUCGCUAGUAAUCGUGGAUCAGCAUGCCACGGUGAAUACGUUCCCGGGCCUUGUACACACCGCCCGUCACACCAUGAGAGUUGGUUGUACCAGAAGUCGUUGGGCAAACCUUC